AUUAAUAUUCUAAUGAGGUAGCUAUGUUGUGGCAAGAAAAUAUAGCAGUUAGGCAGUCCUUAAUUGUUGCUCUUAAUGAAUGACCAUUAAUGCUGGAGACCGCACCCUUACCUUGUUCUAACUUACUGAAUGUUCCCUCGGCAAAUUGUGAUAUUUUCUUUGAAUUAAGUUUUCGUAACCUGUCUUUUCUUUACUCUAUCAUACCUUAUCUGUUCACCCUUCCAGCUUGUUGUUAUUUAACAUUGAUAACCUGUUAUUUAUUUGAAUUCUUAAAUGGAAGCAUCUUUAAAACAAAAUCUAAGGAAAUUAAAUGUAGUAAAGACUGCGAAUAAUGAUUAAAAAAUUCUAAACCUAAAAACAAUUUUGCCAUUAGAACCUUUAGAUUUCCUCUAGGAUAAGAAGUGCGAUCUGAACCAAUCGAAUUAAGCGUCAGUCGUUUGCAGCUGAGAUCAAGGCAUUUUAAAUUUCUAGUUGAACAGCUGACACAAGUCGUUGUGUCCAGAAAUAGUAUGAACGCCAUUUUGAAUGUCACGGUCUACUAAAAUUUGAUUUCGACGUUUUCGCAUGAUUUACUUCAAAACAAUCAACACACUGAUAUACAAAUGAAUCAUAAUAAACACGUUAAAAAUAAUCAAAAUACUUUUGAGAAUAAAAGAAAAUGGAGGCGGGAGACAUGUUUAGGAGAAAAACUGGACACCAAGUGGAGUUUGAUUGAAAAGAUUCCCAUAAUUGUCAGCGUACGGAACACAUCCCUAAUGUACAAGUAUAUUUUGUAGAAGAAAGCAAGUUUA